rnacentral:rRNA from 1 species
AUUGAACGCUGGCGGCAUGCUUUACACAUGCAAGUCGAACGGCCGCGCGGGCUUCGGCCUGGCGGCGCGUGGCGAACGGGUGAGUAAUUCAUCGGAACAUGACCAGUCUAGGGGGAUAGGACGGCGAAGGCAGGAUUAAUCCAGCACACGACAUGAGAGUGAAACGGGGGGACCAAAAGUGCUCGAGGGAUUUGCGGGCCCGUUUAGAGGUUUCCUCGCCGGAUUAGCUAGUUGGUAAGGUAACGGCUUACCAAGGCUACGAUGCGUAGCCGACCUGAGAGGAUGAUCAGCCACACUGGGACUGAGACACGGCCCAGACUCCUACGGGAGGCAGCAGUGGGGAAUUUUGGGCAAUGGGGGCAAGCCUGACGCAGCCACGCCGCGUGCGGGAAGAAGGCCUUCGGGUCGUAAACCGCUUUUGUUCGGGAAGAAAACAUCUGGGCGAAUACCCCGGGGGGAUGACGGUACCGGAAGAAUAAGCACCGGCUAACUACGUG